AUGCAUUUCUUAUACUAUUAAGGGUAAUUGGAAACUGGAAUUCAUUUGAGAUGCAAGGGUUGCUUUUCAGAUUCAAGAUGUCCAACCCCGUGUGUUAAUUGAUAUUGUUUUGGUUACAGUGAAACCCUAUGUUAACAUGGAUAGAGGACCGUUCAGUGCGACCAUUGAAAAUCAUUAUGAUUUUUCUUUCAUUUUGGGAGUCGCAAGAACUAAUUAAAUAAAUAAAUUUUUGUCACAUGAAGAAAAUUAGGGGAAGGGGUACCGUAAUGAUUCCAUGGUCUAGUGGUCAGGACAUUGGACUCUGAAUCCAGUAACCCGAGUUCAAAUCUCGGUGGAACCUCGUUUUCAUUUUCCCGGAAAUAUCCAAUCCAAGCAUAUGAGUAAAGUAAAUAGUAAAUCUCUUGUUAUCAUGUUCAUGGUGGACGGAACUCGGAAACAAGAGCGGAGCGGAGACAAGUCCCAACUCCCAAUUUCCUCACUGAUUUUUCGAUGAAGGCAACUCUCCCCAUUCCCUCUCUCCGAAGUCCGAACGCUAUUGUUGCAUCUGCACCCACCCUGCAGCAAUCAUAAAGUGGUUCCCAGCUUCAACCAAUAUCGCCUUUUUGCGCCUUCCCAUCCUUCCUAGCCUAGGUGACGAUUCUACUACUCCAUCGGAUGUAAUUUCCGUAAAUGAAUGAAUUGCUCACUGAAGAGUGAAGACGCAGAUAAAUUUCUUCUAUUUCACUUUUCCCCCAACCAAUCUUACUUAAUCUUUACUAGCUUGAUAUCUAAAGGUUUCUAUCGCAGGACCUGUAUGGAAUCUUAUUCACCUUUCUUUGAUCUUCGAUGAGUAUUCUUCCCUCCCAAUUGAAAAAAUAAAAGCAUGAUGAUAGUUCAAGUGAAGUCAGGGAGUAUCAGAAUGUGCUCCUGAAAAGGGUUUGGGCGUGAAACUUACUUCAUUAAUUUAUUCAUUUUUAUGUUUUCUUUUUCCCAAUUCAGGUUCGUAUUAGAGCAUGUUCGUAAAGUUGGAGUAUUGGGAUUGUAGUUUUGGUCAGUGGUCAGUAAGAGCUAUUUGUGGACAUCUGUAAAUGUGAUGGUUCCGAUCAUGAUAUAAUAUUCUUGUGGAAAAUCACAUCCUUUUCUUCUAUGAGUGAAUGAUGAGUUUUAAUUUUUAAUUUCUAUUCAUCAUAGAAUAACUUGUUUUAUAGGCGAUGUAUAAGUGUUUAACUGGUUGGAAAGUGGAAUUGGAGGACUGUAAUGGUGAGGGGGAAAUUCAAGCAUCUGGUGGUAGGUACAGGCGGCAGGGGCAAAGAAUGGGCGGAGUUUCCUUGAGAGAGAACCAGAGAAGGAAGUAUCAAUGACCAUUGAUCAAAAUCAAGGUAGAUUGUAUUUAUAAAUUCUUUUCUUUCGGAUUACUUGUAAUGCGCAUUUCUCUUUUUUUAUCUUUUCUGUGGGCGGAGUUUCCUUGAGAGAGAACCAGAGAAGGAAGUAUCAAUGACCAUUGAUCAAAAUCAAGGUAGAUUGUAUUUAUAAAUUCUUUUCUUUCGGAUUACUUGUAAUGCGCAUUUCUCUUUCUUUUA